AGUCGAGCGGAUGACGGGAGCUUGCUCCUUGAUUCAGCGGCGGACGGGUGAGUAAUGCCUAGGAAUCUGCCUGGUAGUGGGGGACAACGUUUCGAAAGGAACGCUAAUACCGCAUACGUCCUACGGGAGAAAGCAGGGGACCUUCGGGCCUUGCGCUAUCAGAUGAGCCUAGGUCGGAUUAGCUAGUUGGUGGGGUAAUGGCUCACCAAGGCGACGAUCCGUAACUGGUCUGAGAGGAUGAUCAGUCACACUGGAACUGAGACACGGUCCAGACUCCUACGGGAGGCAGCAGUGGGGAAUAUUGGACAAUGGGCGAAAGCCUGAUCCAGCCAUGCCGCGUGUGUGAAGAAGGUCUUCGGAUUGUAAAGCACUUUAAGUUGGGAGGAAGGGCAGUAAGCUAAUACCUUGCUGUUUUGACGUUACCGACAGAAUAAGCACCGGCUAACUCUGUGCCAGCAGCCGCGGUAAUACAGAGGGUGCAAGCGUUAAUCGGAAUUACUGGGCGUAAAGCGCGCGUAGGUGGUUUGUUAAGUUGGAUGUGAAAGCCCCGGGCUCAACCUGGGAACUGCAUCCAAAACUGGCAAGCUAGAGUACGGUAGA
rnacentral:rRNA from 1 species